GACCUGCUCUUGCACUCAGAUGUCCAUAACACCAGGGCUUGGCCAGGCCAAAGCCGGUGCCCGGAACUCAUUCCAGUGGCAGGUACUCAGGUACCUGAGCCAUCCCCAGCUGCUCCCAAGUGUGCAUCAGCAGGAAGUUGGAAUGGGAAGUGGAGCGCUUGGAGGUGGCCUGCGGGCGUCCCAACCACCGUGGCCCCAGCCUGUGAGAGCCUUCCCGGGCCCUGCAAGUGGGAACUCGCUUGCUGGGCUUGCACAGUAGCCUCUGGCACCUGGAGAGCCACGGCCCUACCCUGGGCCUCAGCAGGGCUGGUCAGAGAGGGCAGAGGUAGCCAUUGUGCGGUGGGCUAAGAGCCACAGCCCCUAUCGUGGGCCUCAGCAGGGCUGGUCAGAGAGGGUAGAGGUAGCCAUUGUGCAGUGGGCUUGUGGGCCACAGAGCGGAGCUGAGGCCAAGGCAGAUGCCCGCUUCCUUCUCAGCAUCCGGGCCCUGCAGGAACCAUCUAGUGGAUGGACCCUGAGAGGCCCAGGUGAGGGUGGGUUUGAGGCUGGUGUCCACGCAGGAAAGCGUGGCCGGGGCGGGCGACUGGGCCCAGAGCCGUGCACCUGGAGGAGGUCUCUGAAGCCUGGGGGAACAAGCGUGCACUGAGCACAGUGCACACGUGAGGGUCACACAGCCCAAGGUGGGCAGUUCCAACACACCCAACACACGUGCCCGUGGCCACAGUGCCUUGGCACGGCUUCUCCUGCAAUGCACGCUUGUGUUCCAGGUUUGUGCGCAUCUCCUGGGCCAGCUUCAGGGACGCCUCUGUCAACUGGAACGCCGAGCUGUCUCUGCGGGCCGCGUGCGAAGGCUGCGGGGACGUGCCGGGGCUCUCCUUCUCCUGGGAACUCUUCCUCGUCAACGCCACAGAGGACGGCACAGUGGCAGCGCCCUCCUGCCGAGCCGUGGGGCUGCUCGGCGUCUCGGGACUUGGGGCCGUUUGGAAGUCGUCGGAGCCGAUCCCGCUGUCCACAGAGCCCAGCACGCCAGAUCCCGAAGGGGCACCCAUGCUGUUCCCACGGGAGCCUUCACCCGAGACCCUGGGCCAGCCUGCUGUCUCUGCCCCAGGGAGCGCCUCCCCGGAGUCCACGGCAGGGCCUCGCCGGGCUCCUGCUGCUGGUGACACUGUGGUCCCAGGAGAGGACCCUGAGGAGGGGCUACUGGGGCCUGAGCUGGCGUCCUGGGACGAGGAAGCCCCGACAGGGAGCCCCUCUGAGAGCGGCUGGUCCCCUCCCCACCCCGGUAAGCUCCGCCGCCCCUCAACGUGUCCCCCUUGUCUGGGCCCCUGACUCGCCGCGGGAAGAGUGAAUCGGGGUCGGGGAUUAAGUCACCUGUGUUGAUGCUUUAGCUAAGAGAGUGCUGGGCGCGUGCCCGCUGCCUGCCAACAGCCGUGCCUGGCUGAGCCAGGACUCCUCUUGGAGCAGCUACCUGCUCCGAGCUCCAGCUCCUCCCAGCUGCCCGACGCGUGGGGUUGCCACUGGCAAUACGCAGACCCGGAGGCAGAGUCGGCACUGACUUCCGGGGAGUGUCUGGUUCUGAAGCAG
ensembl:lncRNA